AGUCAUAGGUUUGAACGUAGUUUUCAAUUUAGACUUGUUUAUAUUUUUUGUUUGGGCAUGUAUCAUAUUUUCCCUCCGGUUUAUAUGAUCCGUUCAUCCUAUAUAUUGACUCUUAAAAUUCAAGAGUUAAUCUAAAAAUGAGGGUACUUUCUCUAAAAAUGAGGGUGCUUUUUAUAUGGCCUUCCAAAUACCGUUUCGAUCCCUAACAUCACUGAAGAGACAUUUAUUGUCGAAAUCCGGAUAUGGUGUACUAAAGAAAUAUUGACACCGAAUGUUUGUGGCACAACAUCCUGUCCACAAGUUAACAAUUUUUUUUUUUUCUGUGACGUAUUAAAUUUAUAAUAAGAUCCAUUUUGUUACAACCUGUGAUCAAUUUUAUUUGGCAAUCGCCAAUGGCAGUCAGCAGGGUUAAAGAACAUCAGUUGUUCGACCUGUUAGUCAAAUGCGUUUUGUUUAAAUAUACUUUUUCACUCUUUUGGUCUUUUGGAAAAUGUUGUUUGUGCUGUUUUUAGACCCUUCUACAACGAAAUUUGUUUGACAUGCACACGUAUAAAAAUUGCGGUUUUUAUCCAACGCAGUCAUAGGUUUGAACGUAGUUUUCAAUUUAGACUCAUAUAUAUAUAUAUGUAUAUGCAGGAACUACUGUAAAAGGUUAUUAUCUAUACUAGAGAUAAAGGCAAUACAUUCCAUUAUAAUAGCAAAGUAAACAAGUAUAAAAUAGUUAGUGAACUGGUUAUUUAAAAAUAAUUUAGAUUUUUUUUAACUUGCUUUGUGGUAAAACAGUGUUCAUGUAUUGUUCAUUUGAUAUUUUCUUUCAUAAGGUUAAGUAUUCCACAAUCAAUCAUUAGAAUAUAAUUUUAAAGUGAAUUAUUCAGUCGUUCGUUCGUAGGAACAGCCAUACAAAUCAAGUCUGCAUGUGAUGCCAUUAAAAAUCAGUAGAAAAUCAGAUUAAGAUAUACAAUUUAUUGGUUUUAUUUUAAACUUAAGAAUAUUGAUGAUAAUUGCCAUAGGUGGAAAUUUCUUGUCUUUUGCAAGUCAACAUAUAUAAGCUUCCAUUAAAGUUGUAUUUUAACUUUUUUUCAUGUCUCUUGUUGCUAGUCAUAGUUUAUUGUUUUAAAUUUAAUGUUAUCGAAAUUAAAUACAUGAUAAAUGACCUUUGUCAUUAAGCCAUAAUAGAGAAGUUGUUAUGAGUCUACCUUUAAUUUUUGCAACUGUCUUGCCAUUGGUAAAUCAGAAUGCUUUUGAUUAUUAUUGCAAUAUUUAGACAUUAAAAUGUAUACAACAAUA